CAAUAACGUAUAUUAAAGUUGUUGCGGUUAAAAAACUCGUAAUUGGAUUUCUGCCGAGGACGACCGGUCCGCCCUCUGGGUGAGCAUCUGGAUCGGCCUGGGCGUCUUCUUGGGGAACGUGUCUGCACUUGACUGUGUGGUGCGGUAUCCAGGACUUUUACUUUGAGGAAAUUGGAGUGUUUCAAGCAGGCGCACGCCUUGAAUACAUUGGCAUGGAGUAAUAAUAUAGGACCUCGGUUCUAUUUUGUUGGUUUCUAGGCCUGAGGUAAUGAUUAAUAGGGAUAGUUGUGGGCAUUCGUAUUUAACUGUCAGAUGUGAAGUUCUUGGAUUUGUUAAAGACGGACUACUGCGAAAGCAUUUGCCAAGGACGUUUUCAUUGAUCAAGAACGAAAGUUA
rnacentral:rRNA from 1 species